rnacentral:rRNA from 1 species
AGUGAACGCUGGCGGUAGGCCUAACACAUGCAAGUCGAACGGCAGCACAGUAAGAGCUUGCUCUUACGGGUGGCGAGUGGCGGACGGGUGAGGAAUACAUCGGAAUCUACUUUUUCGUGGGGGAUAACGUAGGGAAACUUACGCUAAUACCGCAUACGACCUACGGGUGAAAGCAGGGGAUCUUCGGACCUUGCGCGAUUGAAUGAGCCGAUGUCGGAUUAGCUAGUUGGCGGGGUAAAGGCCCACCAAGGCGACGAUCCGUAGCUGGUCUGAGAGGAUGAUCAGCCACACUGGAGCUGAGACACGGUCCAGACUCCUACGGGAGGCAGCAGUGGGGAAUAUUGGACAAUGGGCGCAAGCCUGAUCCAGCCAUACCGCGUGGGUGAAGAAGGCCUUCGGGUUGUAAAGCCCUUUUGUUGGGAAAGAAAAGCAGCAGGUUAAUACCCCGCUGUUCUGACGGGACCCAAAGAAUAAGCACCGGCUAACUUCGUG